rnacentral:rRNA from 1 species
AUUGAACGCUGGCGGUAUGCUUAACACAUGCAAGUCGAACGAUGAGAAAGAGCUUGCUCUUUCGAUUAGUGGCGGACGGGUGCGUAACGCGUAGGAGUCUACCUAUUAGUGGGGGACAACUUAGGGAAACUUAAGCUAAUACCGCAUACGCCCUACGGGGGAAAGAAGGGGAUCGCAAGACCUUUUGCUAAUAGAUGAGCCUGCGUAGGAUUAGCUAGUUGGUGGGGUAAAAGCACACCAAGGCGACGAUCCUUAACUGGUUUGAGGGAAUGAUCAGGCACAGUGGCACGUAGACACGGGCCAGACUCCAACGGGAGGCAGCAGAGGGAAAUAUUGGACAAUGGGCGAAGGUCUGAUACAGCAAUACCGCGUAUGUUAAGAAGGCCUUAGGGUUGUAAAGCACUUUCAAUUGGAAGGAAAACCUCGAAGCUAAUACCUUCGAGUUUGACAUUACCUUUAGAAGAAGCACCGGCUAACUCCGUGCCAGCAGCCGCCGUAA